GUGGAAACACAAGUUCGUGCCCUUUGCAGUAGAGAGGAGCCGGCCCUUCCUUCACCUGUGCGGAACCUGGGAUUCACAGGCCUAGGCAGGAAGCACUCUAGCAGGAACUCUGGCCUAGUGGAGUCUCAGUCACCAUUAAAAUUGUCUGCAAGCCUGAAUUUCUGGGGCCAUGGGAUGGACAAGGACCCCAUCCUUAGCCGAACUAAGUAAAGUCCUACAACAUUUUUGGCGUGCAACGUCGGGGCUUGAGAAGCAGUGAGUGAAAUGGGGACUCAAAACCUCUCACUGUGGGUUCUAAGCCUUUCCAUCCUCGGACUUCCGAGGUUAGAGGAACCAGGCCCCCAACUCCCGUUGCGGCUGGGAGUUGGGAGAAAGGCCCUUACUGGGGACCGACCAACCAGCAGCAGCUCCCUGUCCUUACCUGCUUCAUGCUGGGGCUGGGACGCGUGGCUCAAGGGUCUUCGCAGAGCCAGCUUGCGGUCUUCUCCUUCCCCUACCCCAGCCAAGGGGUUCUACUCCAUUGGACAAUAAUUGAACUAAUCUCCAUGGUGGACGAAUCAGUUGCAUAGGAAUGAGAGGCUCUUCCUCAGGUAUUUUUAAACUGUUUCUUUUCUUUUCUCUCUACCCUGUCGGUAGUUAACUUUUAAAAGUUUCAUUUUCUUUUAGAAGAUGUUGUGCUAGACUAGGGACCUCCAACAUCUAUCACUAUAUUCUCUGGAAAGUUUUGGUUGUGAAAUCAAGCCUCCAUCUUGUAUUACAUCCUGAGGGCAUGGCUUGUAACUCCCCCCGCAGGGCUUUG
rnacentral:lncRNA from 1 species